AGGGAAGUAGUCCCGCCAUCGGCGGGACACUUGCAUGGGGUGCAAGGGGUCGCAAGUUCGAAUCUUGUCGUCCCGA
rnacentral:tRNA from 1 species